GUGUUGUGUGGACAGAGAGGAAGUCAUCACUCCUCUUGAAGAGGCUAGAAGAGGCCCUCAGGCCUAACAUGCUUAUGUCAAAGACAUUGCUAUCUUCAUAGCUUCUAAAUGCUACAUUUC
ensembl:snRNA U6atac minor spliceosomal RNA